UCCAGAGGGUGCAAGCGUUGUUCGGAAUUACUGGGCGUAAAGGGCGCGUAGGCGGCCGCCUAAGUCAGACGUGAAAUCCCUCGGCUCAACCGGGGAACUGCGUCUGAUACUGGGUGGCUUGAAUUCGGGAGAGGGAUGCGGAAUUCCAGGUGUAGCGGUGAAAUGCGUAGAUAUCUGGAGGAACACCGGUGGCGAAGGCGGCAUCCUGGACCGGUAUUGACGCUGAGGCGCGAAAGCCAGGGGAGCAAACGGG
rnacentral:rRNA from 1 species